rnacentral:lncRNA from 1 species
UAGACAUACAGCAUGGCGCCGUCUGGCCCUGCCAGUCACCUGCCGAAGACGGGAGGUUUCUCCCGGAGGGACUAUGACAGUCCCCACCUCUACACGAUGGCCCACCCCCCACAGGAGCAUCAAGGCAGACAGACUCUGGAAGUUGUAAGGAUGAGGACAGUUAGAGACGACAGCAGGUACUCAUUGCUGGCAGGAAUCAGGCAUCAGACCCAUGCCUUCUUCUCUGCUUACAUGUAAGAUCAUGUGAAUGUUGAUGAAAACACCAUCAGACUGGAGGCUGCGUCCGGCCACUCAGACAAAGAAGGAAUAGAAGUGAAGGAAGAAGGCUGGACUGUGAACCAAUGACACUGAGUUGCCCGCGCCACCGUGGAGGGCAUAGGGGACAGGCCAAAAGUUCCAGUGAAGUCCUGGGAGGUGGUGUGAGAAGUUUACUCUGGGGACAGGGAGAUGAUCUGCUUAAAAAGCAAGUUAAUUUUUCUUAUUGCUGUUCCUUUGGCUCUUUUACAAUGGAAUGGGUGCACAGAGAAAUGCUGGUGGCCUGCAUUGAGAAUUUCUGAUGAGGUAGGCUGAGAAACUGACAAAUGAGCUGUCAGCUCUGCUGCAAUGACACUUCAGGGGCCAGGUUUCUUUAGCUUUUAUAUAUAUAAUAUAUAUUAUCACACUGCACACUAUAUAUGUAAUAAAUAUUAUACAAUAUGUUUAA